AGAUCGUUUUGUUGUGAUUAUUGGAAUGGAUUUUUUGGAAAAAAUUAUAUGUUAGUUAUUAAAGUACCAAGUUAUUGGUGCUUAUAGGUUUUCGACUAUUGGAUUAAGAGAUGUACGGUUAAGAUGAUAGUGAUUUUCUAGGAUUAAGUGAGUGAUUGGUUAAAUAGUAUGAUCUAACGGAUGUAAAUAGUCAAAGUGCAAAUCUAACGGUAAAAAAUUUACAAAUACCAAGUGCAUUGUGAUUUUACAAGUACCAUAGCCAAACUAUAUAUAUAUAUAUAUAACUAAACUGGAAUACUAUUAAUAGCACCAAUGACUUCGUGCUAUUAAGUUUUCUGCCCUUAGAUUAAAAGAUGUGCGGUUAGAAUGAUGUGGCCCCUUAGGGUUGAGUGGAUGGUUAGUUGACUAGUAUAUUCGAACGGAUAAAAAUGAUAAAAAAUAUAUAAAU
rnacentral:lncRNA from 1 species